rnacentral:rRNA from 1 species
AACGAACGCUGGCGGCAGGCUUAACACAUGCAAGUCGAACGCAUCCUUCGGGGUGAGUGGCAGACGGGUGAGUAACGCGUGGGAACGUGCCCUUCAGUUCGGGAUAACCCAGGGAAACUUGGGCUAAUACCGGAUACGUGCGAGAGCAGAAAGAUUUAUCGCGGAAGGAUCGGCCCGCGUCUGAUUAGCUAGUUGGUGGGGUAAUGGCCCACCAAGGAGACGAUCAGUAGCUGGUCUGAGAGGAUGAUGAGCCACAUUGGGACUGAGACACGGCCCAAACUCCUACGGGAGGCAGCAGUGGGGAAUAUUGGACAAUGGGCGCAAGCCUGAUCCAGCCGUGCCGCGUGAGUGAUGAAGGCCUUAGGGUUGUAAAGCUCUUUCGUCCGGGACGAUAAUGACGGUACCGGAAGAAGAAGCCCCGGCUAACUUCGUGCCAGCCGCCGCAGUAA